rnacentral:tRNA from 1 species
CCGCCCUUAGCUCAGCUGGAUAGAGCGUUGCCCUCCGGAGGCAAAGGCCAGAGGUUCGAAUCCUCUAGGGCGGGCCA